UACGUAGGGUGCAAGCGUUGUCCGGAAUUAUUGGGCGUAAAGAGCUCGUAGGCGGUCUGUCGCGUCUGCUGUGAAAACUCAGGGCUUAACCCUGAGCUUGCAGUGGGUACGGGCAGACUAGAGUGCGGUAGGGGAGACUGGAAUUCCUGGUGUAGCGGUGAAAUGCGCAGAUAUCAGGAGGAACACCGGUGGCGAAGGCGGUUCUCUGGGCAUGUCCUGACGGCUGAGGAGCGAAAGUGUGGGGAGCGAACAGG
rnacentral:rRNA from 1 species